UGCAGUCGAGCGAAUGGAUUAAGAGCUUGCUCUUAUGAAGUUAGCGGCGGACGGGUGAGUAACACGUGGGUAACCUGCCCAUAAGACUGGGAUAACUCCGGGAAACCGGGGCUAAUACCGGAUAACAUUUUGAACCGCAUGGUUCGAAAUUGAAAGGCGGCUUCGGCUGUCACUUAUGGAUGGACCCGCGUCGCAUUAGCUAGUUGGUGAGGUAACGGCUCACCAAGGCAACGAUGCGUAGCCGACCUGAGAGGGUGAUCGGCCACACUGGGACUGAGACACGGCCCAGACUCCUACGGGAGGCAGCAGUAGGGAAUCUUCCGCAAUGGACGAAAGUCUGACGGAGCAACGCCGCGUGAGUGAUGAAGGCUUUCGGGUCGUAAAACUCUGUUGUUAGGGAAGAACAAGUGCUAGUUGAAUAAGCUGGCACCUUGACGGUACCUAACCAGAAAGCCACGGCUAACUACGUGCCAGCAGCCGCGGUAAUACGUAGGUGGCAAGCGUUAUCCGGAAUUAUUGGGCGUAAAGCGCGCGCAGGUGGUUUCUUAAGUCUGAUGUGAAAGCCCACGGCUCAACCGUGGAGGGUCAUUGGAAACUGGGAGACUUGAGUGCAGAAGA
rnacentral:rRNA from 1 species